AGAGUUUGAUCAUGGCUCAGGAUGAACGCUGGCGGCGUGUCUAAGGCAUGCAAGUCGAGCGCACUUCGGGUGCACGGCAGACGGGAGCGUAACACAUUGGUAACCUACCCUGAAGAGGGGGAUAACCUUUCGAAAGAAAGAAUAAUACCCCAUGUGCUGCGAAGUUUAAUACUUCGUAGUAAAACUUUUGUGCUUCAGGAGGGGCCUAUGUUCUAUCAGCUUGUUGGUGAGGUAAAAGCUCACCAAGGCUAUGACGGAUACCGGGUGUGAGAGCAUGACCCGGCUCAAUGGGACUGCGACACUGCCCAUACUCCUACGGGAGGCUGCAGUCAAGAAUAUUCCACAAUGCCCUAACGGGUGAUGGAGCGACGCCGCGUGCAGGAAGACGCCCUUAGGGGUGUAAACUGCUUUUAUUUAGGAAGAACAAAUGACGGUACUAAAUGAAUAAGGGGCUGCUAACUUCGUGCCAGCAGCAGCGGUAAUACGAAGGCCCCAAGCGUUAUCCGGAAUUAUUGGGCGUAAAGCGUCCGCAGGGGGUUCGGUAAGUAUGUUGUUAAAACUCAGAGCUCAACUCUGAGACUGCAAUGUAAACUGCCAGACUAGAGGAUGGGAGAGGCAUCUGGAAUUGUCGGUGUAGUAGUAAAAUGCGUUAAUAUCGACAGGAACACCAAAAGCGUAGGCAUGAUGCUGGAACACUCCUGACCCUCAGGGACGAAAGCGUGGGUAGCGAAUCGGAUUAGAUA
rnacentral:rRNA from 1 species